rnacentral:rRNA from 1 species
AGACCCGAAACCCGGUGAUCUAGCCAUGGGCAGGUUGAAGGUUGGGUAACACUAACUGGAGGACCGAACCGACUAAUGUUGAAAAAUUAGCGGAUGACCUGUGGCUGGGGGUGAAAGGCCAAUCAAACCGGGAGAUAGCUGGUUCUCCCCGAAAGCUAUUUAGGUAGCGCCUCGUGAAUUCAUCUCCGGGGGUAGAGCACUGUUUCGGCUAGGGGGCCAUCCCGGCUUACCAACCCGAUGCAAACUGCGAAUACCGGAGAAUGUUAUCACGGGAGACACACGGCGGGUGCUAACGUCCGUCGUGAAGAGGGAAACAACCCAGACCGCCAGCUAAGGUCCCAAAGUCAUGGUUAAGUGGGAAACGAUGUGGGAAGGCCCAGACAGCCAGGAUGUUGGCUUAGAAGCAGCCAUCAUUUAAAGAAAGCGUAAUAGCUCACUGGUCGAGUCGGCCUGCGCGGAAGAUGUAACGGGGCUAAACCAUGCACCGAAGCUGCGGCAGCGAACGUAUCACUUAAAGCGAUUCAGCGGGUUACGAUUGACGGAGCGAAGCGACGUCAAAGCGUAUACAAAGUCGAGUCGGUUUAAGGAUACGUUCGUUGGGUAGGGGAGCGUUCUGUAAGCCUGUGAAGGUGUGUCGUGAGGCAUGCUGGAGGUAUCAGAAGUGCGAAUGCUGACAUAAGUAACGAUAAAGCGGGUGAAAAGCCCGCUCGCCGGAAGACCAAGGGUUCCUGUCCAACGUUAAUCGGGGCAGGGUGAGUCGACCCCUAAGGCGAGGCCGAAAGGCGUAGUCGAUGGGAAACGGGUUAAUAUUCCCGUACUUGGUGUUACUGCGAAGGGGGGACGGAGAAGGCUAUGUUGGCCGGGCGACGGUUGUCCCGGUUUAAGCGUGUAGGCUGGUUUUCCAGGCAAAUCCGGAAAAUCAAGGCUGAGGCGUGAUGACGAGGCACUACGGUGCUGAAGCAA